rnacentral:lncRNA from 1 species
AUUAUGUAAUAUGCCUCAGGCAGUGGCAGAAACCUAGGCUGAAAUAACCAACACUACUUGCCAAACACUUUAGAAAGAUUAUGUUUCUUCUCCAUUACAGAAGUGGAACAUAUGGUUCAGGAAUUUACCCUAACAGCAAACUACAGAGGUUAAGCAUGUGAUGCAGGGGCCAAAAUUGUGAGUUCAAAUGCCAACAUGUUUACUUACCAACUUCAUGACCUCACAAACUUGCUUCAACUUUCUGUAACUUUGUCUCCUCAUCUAUAAAACAAUGCAUACCUCAAUGUCUGGUUAAAAGUUUCAGUUAGCAUAAUAUAUUUAAAGCUCUUAAAAGACUGCCUGGAACAGUUUGCAGCAAGAUCCUCCUAGGAAAGUGAAGCAGAGAAAAUGGAGGUAGAAACUAUUCUCCCCAUUAAACUACCUGCCCUCUGUAAUGUAGCUCUUCUGUGCUGCAGAAUUUGAUACUACACAAGAAAAGAAAUGAUGGGAGAACAGGGAGGAAGAGAAGAACUUGCCAAGUAGCAACAUAUAAGAGGCCAAGGGCCGGGCGCAGUGGCUCAUGCCUGUAAUCCAAACACUUUGGGAGGCCAAGGCGG